UUUGGAGGUGCUAUACCCAUGAAAUAUCACCAUCACCAUGUCUGCCUAAACAAGCCAUGGACAGGGAUGACACCAAUAAACAUCCUGACAUGAAAGGGGUAAAUCUCAUGAAGCCUUCAGCCGAGACAAAGAACUGCAAGCAAUUAAGGAAUGCAAAGAGAGUCUACAACAUAUCUCCAUUCAACAGAGUUCUGGACUGAAGAAAACAUUUCAGUUUCAUCAUAACACAGACUCAUCUGUGCAGCCACUGGCUACAGUCCUCCAUUGAUGGAAAUGACUAACAUCAACAGAUACAAGAUGGCCUGAAAGAAUAACAUACUUGUUACUGAAAAAGUUUGCCACCUAUUAUAUAUUGUAUUGUUUCAGGUCAUUAUAUAUUAAA